rnacentral:rRNA from 1 species
CGUGUAGGCGGAUCGUCAAGCUGGGGGUGAAAUCCCUGGGCUCAACCCGGGACGUGCUUCCAGAACUACCGGUCUUGAGAGAGGCAGAGGCAGGUGGAAUUCCAGGUGUAGAGGUGAAAUUCGUAGAGAUCUGGAGGAACACCGGCGGCGAAGGCGGCCUGCUGGGCCUUAUCUGACGCUGAGGCGCGAAAGCGUGGGGAGCAAACAGGAUUAGAUACCCUGGUAGUCCACGCUGUAAACGAUGAGCACUCGAUGUGCGAGGUAUCCACUCCUUGCGUGUCACAGCUAACGCAAUAAGUGCUCCGCCUGGGGACUACGGUCGCAAGACUAAA